rnacentral:ncRNA from 1 species
UGACCUCGGAUCAGACGUGAUUACCCGCUGAACUUAAGCAUAUCAAUAAGCGGAGGAAAAGAGACUAACGAGGAUUCCCCUAGUAACUGCGAGUGAACAUGGAUUAGCCCAACAUCGAAACCUGCGGUUAAUUGAUCGUGAGGUAAUGUGGUUUUUAGUUUGGCUUCAGGCAUUACUGCUCUACCCCAGGUCCAGCAAUGAGUACGACUAGUUGUGAUAAUUAUAAUUAUAAUUAAUGGUUGAAUCAAUGUUACGUAAUAGGAAAUAAGUGAAUGAUUAGAAAAAUAUAGACAUUGAAAUAACAUUCAUAAAAUCUAUAAGAUUAUAUUAUAAGAAGUGUUCAGAUAAUUGGGUCGCGAAGCGUGAAGUUGGAGAAAAAUAAACGAAGAAAGAGUAUAGAGAAUAAUAAUGAAUAAAAUCGUUUAU